rnacentral:rRNA from 1 species
UGGUGCGAUCAUACCGGCACUAAUUCACUGGAUCCUAUCAGAACUCCGAAGUUAAACGUGCUUGGGCGAGAGUAGUACUAAGAUGGGUGACCUCUUGGGAAGUCCUCGUGUUGCACCCU